rnacentral:rRNA from 1 species
GACGAACGCGGCGGCGUGCUUAACACAUGCAAGUCGAACGGAGCGAAUGAAAGCUUGCUUUUAUAAGCUUAGUGGCAAACGGGUGAGUAACACGUAGACAACCUGCCGACAGGAUGGGGACAACAUUCCGAAAGGAAUGCUAAUACCGAAUGAAGUGCAGGGGAGGCAUCUCCCCUGCAUGAAAGAUGGCCUCUAUAUAUAAGCUAUCACCUGUUGAUGGGUCUGCGUCUGAUUAGCUGGUAGGUGAGGUAACGGCUCACCUAGGCGACGAUCAGUAGCCGGUCUGAGAGGAUGAACGGCCACAUUGGGACUGAGACACGGCCCAGACUCCUACGGGAGGCAGCAGUGGGGAAUCUUCCGCAAUGGGCGCAAGCCUGACGGAGCAACGCCGCGUGAGUGAAGAAGGUCUUCGGAUCGUAAAGCUCUGUUGAUGGGGACGAACGUGCCUAAUGCGAAUAGUUUUAGGUAAUGACGGUACCCAUCGAGGAAGCC